rnacentral:misc_RNA from 1 species
UUUCCGUAGGUGAACCUGCGGAAGGAUCAUUAAAGAGUAAGGGUCUUCUAGGCCCGACCUCCCAACCCUUUGUUUACCAAACCAUUGUUGCUUCGGCGGGCCCGUCCCAGGACCGCCGGAGGACCGUCAAACGUCCUCUGGCCCGCGCCCGUCGAUGGCCCCUAUCAUUAAACUCUGAACCAAACGUGUCCUGUCUGAGUGAUUAUUAUCAGAAAUCAAAGCAAAACUUUCAACAACGGAUCUCUUGGUUCUG